ensembl:snRNA U6 U6 spliceosomal RNA
GUGCUUGCCUCAGCAGCAAAUAUACUAAGGUUGGCAUGAUACAGAGAAGAUUAGUGAGGAUGACAUGCAAAUCCGUGUAAAGUUCCAUAUUAAU